GGAUCCAGACUUUGAUCAUGGCUCAGGACGAACGCUGGCGGCGUGCCUAACACAUGCAAGUCGAACGGAGAAUUUUAUUUCGGUAGAAUUCUUAGUGGCGAACGGGUGAGUAACGCGUAGGCAACCUGCCCUUUAGACGGGGACAACAUUCCGAAAGGAGUGCUAAUACCGGAUGUGAUCAUCUUGCCGCAUGGCAGGAUGAAGAAAGAUGGCCUCUACAAGUAAGCUAUCGCUAAAGGAUGGGCCUGCGUCUGAUUAGCUAGUUGGUAGUGUAACGGACUACCAAGGCGAUGAUCAGUAGCCGGUCUGAGAGGAUGAACGGCCACAUUGGGACUGAGACACGGCCCAAACUCCUACGGGAGGCAGCAGUGGGGAAUCUUCCGCAAUGGACGAAAGUCUGACGGAGCAACGCCGCGUGAGUGAUGAAGGAUUUCGGUCUGUAAAGCUCUGUUGUUUAUGACGAACGUGCAGUGUGUGAACAAUGCAUUGCAAUGACGGUAGUAAACGAGGAAGCCACGGCUAACUACGUGCCAGCAGCCGCGGUAAUACGUAGGUGGCGAGCGUUGUCCGGAAUUAUUGGGCGUAAAGAGCAUGUAGGCGGCUUAAUAAGUCGAGCGUGAAAAUGCGGGGCUCAACCCCGUAUGGCGCUGGAAACUGUUAGGCUUGAGUGCAGGAGAGGAAAGGGGAAUUCCCAGUGUAGCGGUGAAAUGCGUAGAUAUUGGGAGGAACACCAGUGGCGAAGGCGCCUUUCUGGACUGUGUCUGACGCUGAGAUGCGAAAGCCAGGGUAGCGAACGGGAUUAGAUACCCCGGUAGUCCUGGCCGUAAACGAUGGGUACUAGGUGUAGGAGGUAUCGACCCCUUCUGUGCCGGAGUUAACGCAAUAAGUACCCCGCCUGGGGAGUACGGCCGCAAGGUUGCAACUCAAAGGAAUUGACGG
rnacentral:rRNA from 1 species